rnacentral:misc_RNA from 1 species
GUGAAUCAUCAAAUUUUUGAACGCAAAUUGUACUCUCCUCGGAGAGUAUGCCUGUUUGAGGGUCAGCCUAUAAAAAAUCGACAUCGGUGCUGGUUCGCGGUUGCGUUCGUCGGAAAUUGGGUCAUCUUAAAUCCUUUCUAUUUAAGCGACUUAAAAAUUUCGUUUUGGUUCCAUGAACGUUUCUAAGAUUUACUUCUUUACACGUUUAAGGUAUCGAUUUUUAUUAGACGUUCCUGUCAUAUCGGAUCGCG